UACGGAGGGGGCUAGCGUUGUUCGGAAUUACUGGGCGUAAAGCGCACGUAGGCGGAUCAUUCAGUCAGAGGUGAAAGCCCAGGGCUCAACCCUGGAACUGCCUUUAAUACUGCUGGUCUGGAGUCCGAGAGAGGUGAGUGGAAUUCCGAGUGUAGAGGUGAAAUUCGUAGAUAUUCGGAGGAACACCAGUGGCGAAGGCGGCUCACUGGCUCGGUACUGACGCUGAGGUGCGAAAGCGUGGGGAGCAAACAGG
rnacentral:rRNA from 1 species